GCGUGCUGAUGACUACUUAGGACACCUUUGGAUACCUCAUGAAAACAACCUCAACGGCUGAGCGCC